CAAGUCGAACGGCAGCACGGGAGCAAUCCUGGUGGCGAGUGGCGAACGGGUGAGUAAUAUAUCGGAACGUGCCCAGUCGUGGGGGAUAACGCAGCGAAAGCUGUGCUAAUACCGCAUACGAUCUCUGGAUGAAAGCGGGGGACUCAGUAAUGGGCCUCGCGCGAUUGGAGCGGCCGAUAUCAGAUUAGCUAGUUGGUGGGGUAAAAGCCCACCAAGGCGACGAUCUGUAGCUGGUCUGAGAGGACGACCAGCCACACUGGAACUGAGACACGGUCCAGACUCCUACGGGAGGCAGCAGUGGGGAAUUUUGGACAAUGGGCGCAAGCCUGAUCCAGCAAUGCCGCGUGCAGGAUGAAGGCCUUCGGGUUGUAAACUGCUUUUGUACGGAACGAAACGGUUCGCUUUAAUACAGUGGGCUAAUGACGGUACCGUAAGAAUAAGCACCGGCUAACUACGUGCCAGCAGCCGCGGUAAUACGUAGGGUGCGAGCGUUAAUCGGAAUUACUGGGCGUAAAGCGUGCGCAGGCGGUGAUGUAAGACAGAUGUGAAAUCCCCGGGCUCAACCUGGGACCUGCAUUUGUGACUGCAUCGCUAGAGUACGGUAGAGGGGGAUGGAAUUCCGCGUGUAGCAGUGAAAUGCGUAGAUAUGCGGAGGAACACCGAUGGCGAAGGCAAUCCCCUGGACCUGUACUGACGCUCAUGCACGAAAGCGUGGGGGAGCAAACAGGAUUAGAUACCCUGGUAGUCCACGCCCUAAACGAUGUCAACUGGAUUGUUGGGUCUUCACUGACUCAGUAACGAAGCUAACGCGUGAAGUUGACCGCCUGGGGAGUACGGCCGCAAGGGUUGAAACUCAAAGGAAUUGACGG
rnacentral:rRNA from 1 species